UACGAAGGGUGCUAGCGUUGUUCGGAAUCACUGGGCGUAAAGGGUACGUAGGCGGUUUGGUAAGUCGAUUGUGAAAGCCCCAGGCUCAACUUGGGAACUGCAACCGAAACUGCCUUACUUGAGUUUGGUAGGGGAUGGUGGAAUUCCUAGUGUAGGGGUGAAAUCCGUAGAGAUUAGGAAGAACACCAGUGGCGAAGGCGACCAUCUAUGCCAAUACUGACGCUGAGGUACGAAAGCGUGGGGAGCAAACAGG
rnacentral:rRNA from 1 species